GCGCUCGUAGCUCAGUUGGAUAGAGCGACAACCUCCUAAGUUGUAGGCCGCAGGUUCGAUUCCUGCCGGGCGCACCA
rnacentral:tRNA from 1 species